rnacentral:rRNA from 1 species
UACGUAGGGGGCAAGCGUUGUCCGGAAUCAUUGGGCGUAAAGCGCGUGUAGGCGGCUUGGUAAGUCUGCUCUGAAAACCCGGGGCUCAACCCCGGGCUUGCGGUCGAUACGGGCAGGCUAGAGUUCGGUAGGGGAGACUGGAAUUCCUGGUGUAGCGGUGAAAUGCGCAGAUAUCAGGAGGAACACCGGUGGCGAAGGCGGGUCUCUGGGCCGAUACUGACGCUGAGGAGCGAAAGCGUGGGGAGCGAACAGG